GUCCGGACGAACCCAGUGGAGCCGACCGAGCCCCUGGAAUCACUCGGGUCACGGUUCCUGAGGUGAAACGCGAGAUCGAUUACUGGAAUCUCCGGGCCCGGGCCGGGCCUGACGGAGGGCGCCCGCGGGGCCCUAAUCUUUACAGGUUCAACAAGCCACUUCUUGGGAUCCCAGAGUUGGAUGAGUGGCCAGUAUAGUACAGACCAGAGGAAGUACGCGGAGCCCCCAUGCCUCUCCCCCACUGCAGCCUCCCUGCCCCGUGCUUGGCCUCCUCUUAGUGGAGGGUGGGUGGGCAGGAGGGCUGGCUUUCUUUUAUCCCCACUCCCCACUCUCUGGGGCCUGACACCUUCUCCUCCAGCAGCUGCAGAGCCAGGGCAUCAAGGGCUGGAGUGUGGAGCAGACGCUGUCCAUGGAGCUGGUGGACAACGUGGACAGGGGGCGGUGGUGAUGGCGCAGUUCGACACGGAGUACCAGCGCCUUGAGGCCUCCUAUAGUGAUUCACCCCCUGGGGAGGAGGACCUAUUGGUGCACGUCCCUGAGGGGAGUAAAUGUGAGUUCUUGGACAUGACAGCAGAGCCGGGGCAUGGGGAGGAGAGGGUCGGUGGAGGAACUCCGAGGGGGCAGGGGGGCUCGUGUUCCUUCAGGGCUCUGACCUCUCUGCUCCUGCGCCCACAGCACCUUGGCACCACAUCGAAAACCUUGACCUCUUCUUCUCUCGAAUAUCCUUUGGGUCUCUGUGUUGGAGCUGUGGGACCGUUAGCCCCUCUCUAAGCUGGGCCCCAGAUGGGAAGUUGGGGUGGCUUUGAUUCUAAUCUCUGGAAGGGAGAUGGGAACUCUUCUGAAGGCUGAAAGAGGCUGGGGCAAUGGUGAUCGUUAUAGAUAAUGAUACCUCACGUUUCCCAAGAGCUACGUGCCUUUCACUUUGUGGUGUCAGUUUUUAUAAGGAACCUCUCUAAAGAGGAUCUUUCUUUUUGAUGGGAC
rnacentral:lncRNA from 1 species